UACGUAGGGGGCGAGCGUUGUCCGGAGUUACUGGGCGUAAAGCGCUUGUAGGCGGUCCACCAAGUUUGGGGUGACAGUUGCCGACUUAAUCGGCAAAGUGCCUCAAAGACUGGCGGACUUGAGGGCCACAGAGGGACAUGGAACUCCAGGUGUAGUGGUGAAAUGCGUAGAUAUCUGGAGGAAUACCAAAGGCGAAGGCAGUGUCCUGGCUGGCAUCUGACGCUGAGGCGCGAAAGCUAGGGGAGCGAACAGG
rnacentral:rRNA from 1 species